rnacentral:rRNA from 1 species
UUUGUAGAUGGAUACCCGACCUAACUGGUCGGUUAAUACAUGAAAUGUUAGCGGUCGUGAUUAUGGUGAAUAAGCGCGACCAGAGGUUGAUUCUUUYGAUGAUGCCUAGCAGACCUACAGGACUUCGUAAGAAGAUAAGCAUGCGGGUGGAUUCGUCGACUCGUAUGCGAACUGAAGGCCAAGAGGAGCAAGCAUCUAAGGAUUAGUUAGUUGGUAGCGUAGUGGGCUACCAAGACAGUUAUCCUUACGAGAAAUGUUCGUUUGAUUUCGGAGAGAGAGCCUUAGAAACGGCUAUCACAUCUAUGGAAGGCAGCAGGCGCGCAAAUUGCCCAAUGUUAGUUCGACGAGGCAGCGAAAGUGUGUAAUGACCUCCUAUGACGAGGGUUGUCCGUAAGGACAUUACAAUGGUCUAGCGUUAAAUCUGCUAGAGAGAAACAACUAGAGGAAAAGUCUGGUGCCAGCACCCGCGGUAAUUCCAGCUCUGGUAAGUAAAGUUAAUGUUGUUGUAUUUAAAACGUUCGUAGUUUAUGUAAGUGUGUUUGUGUUGUGGUCGUGGGGUUUUGGGGGUUUGGUUUUGGGGAAGUGAGGACCAAAUGGUGGUUUUGCAACUAUAACCCUGAAGCCGCUCUUCUUUUGAUGGCGAGAGUAUGUUUUGCAUGAUUUCUUUGUUAAGGAUGAAUGUUGGCAUAUAAUCGUGGCUACGAUUGCGAACACGCGAUUAGAAGUGAGAACAAAUCUGCAUGCUUCAAGUAAGCGAUAAACCGUAGUUCCUUCGGGUCCUACAAUUAUUGUGCUUGAAAGUUAUAGCUUGCUAUUCUUGGAGUAUAUGUGCCUUUUUGGGUAUAUAUCAAUAACAAUGGAACUCAUGCCAAGUCAACAGUAUUAUUGGGAUAGAGGUAAAAUUCAAUGACCCUAGUAAGACUGCCUAAUGCUAACGCAGUUGACAAGGCUGGUUUCGUCUAUGAGGAACUAAAAUGCAAGGAUCGAAGAUGAUUAGAUACCGUUGUAGUUUGCAUCGUAAACGAUUUCGACAGGAAAUCGGGCGGAGAUUUUUUAUGAUCUGCUCGGCGUCCAAGGGAAACCUUAAGUUUUUGGAAUAUAGGGGUAGUAUGAUCGCAAGGUUGAAACUUAAAAGUAUUGACGGAAAAGCACCACCAGGUGUGGAUUCUGCGGCUUAAUUCGACUCAACGCGGGGAAACUUGCCAAGUUAGGAGACAAGUAGGAUUGACAGAGUAAAGCUCUUUCUUGAUUUUGUUGUUGGUGGUGCAUGGCCAUUCUUAGUUCGUGGAGUGAUUUGUCUUGUUAAUUCAGAUAACGAGCGAGACCUAAGCUAAUAGUUAUUAGGCUUCUAAUCGUAAGAUUGGAUGACAAAAACAGUGGAUAUACUCGUAAGAGGAAUCUAUCCGGUUAGUUAUUGGGAUACCUUUUCAGCGUUAUAAGCAAGGUGAAACGUUAGGCGAUAAUAGGUCUGUGAUGCCCUUAGAUAUCUUGGAAUGCACGCGGGAUACAAUAAUUGUGAUAAUAAGUUUAUUUUGUGUGUAGAGCCUACUUUUGUAGUGUUUUACCCAAAACCUGGUUUGAAAGGACUGGGAAAUCUCUCAAUCGCAAUUUUGACAAGGAUCGUCUCUUGUAACAGAGGCGUGAAAGAGGAAUACCUCGUAGGCGUGAGUCAACAUCUCGCACCGAUUAAGUCCCUGCUUUUUGUACACACCGCCCGUCGCAUCAAGGAACACGAUUGAAGUCAUGAAGCUUGCAGAUUGUGCG